UGCUCCCUGGGGUGUACGAUAGUCGGUAAUGUCCCUGUGCCGAUAUUUUUGAAAAAGGGCUACUUUCUUACUGACAUUGCGCAUGCUCGGCUUGACCGAGAAGCCUUAGGAGGUAACCAGCAGCCCGCCUUGAACUGUUAGGUUCAAGGGCUUACACCGACACCGGCAUCGCCGGGGAGCAU
rnacentral:other from 1 species